ensembl:snRNA U4 U4 spliceosomal RNA
AUCUUUGCACAGUGGCAGUAUCAUAGGUAUUUAAUGAAGUUAAUCAGAGACGUGAAUAUUGCUAAUUGAAAACUUUUCCCAAUAUCCUGCCAUGAAACAUGAACAAUAGUUUGCAAUGGCAAUUUUUGAAAGUUCACUCUCUGAUUACUGAG